CGGGGGGGGCAAGCGUUGUUCGGAAUUACUGGGCGUAAAGGGCUCGUAGGCGCCAUCUAAGUCAGACGUGAAAUCCCUGGCUUAACGGGGACUGCGUCUGAUACUGGGAUGGCUUGAGUUUGGGAGAGGGAUGCGGAAUUCCAGGUGUAGCGGUGAAAUGCGUAGAUAUCUGGAGGAACACCGGUGGCGAAGGCGGCAUCCUGGACCAAUACUGACGCUGAGUGAGCGAAAGCCAGGGGAGCAAACGGGAUUAGAUACCCCGGUAGUCCUGGCCCUAAACGAUGAAUGCUUGGUGUGACGGGUAUCGAUCCCUGUCGUGCCGAAGCUAACGCAUUAAGCAUUCCGCCUGGGGAGUACGGUCGCAAGGCUG
rnacentral:rRNA from 1 species